UUGCCGUACACCGGAUGAUUCUUCAUGCUAUUCUAGUUCGGUGCCAGCUGAAGGAAGUCAAUGUGGAGAUGGAAUGUGGUGCAUAAAUGCAAAAUGCGUGAGUACAUCACUCGCACUGCCGUCAGCAGUGGAUGGUGGAUGGACCGAGUUUUGUGAAGAAUUCUCGCCCUGCUCUAGAUCCUGUGGGACAGGGGUUCAAUACCGGAGUAGAUCUUGUACAAAUCCUACUACACAAUGGGGCGGCGCACCCUGUGUUGGAGACAGUCAUAUCUACAAAAUUUGCAAUGAACAGCCCUGCACGACUUCACAAGAUGAUUACCGCAACGAACAGUGUGCUGCAACAAAUUCAAUCCCAUACAAUGGUGUUCUGUACACCUGGACAGAUUAUCAACAUUCUACUAGA